UCACGAAAACGCUCAUAUCUCCCUUUAUAUUACGUAGUUUGGUCAAAACCUUCUACACGAAAAACUUUCACGUAGAUGAGACGCAACCGCCUAUAUAAAAAUUUUGAGACAUUUACCUUCCGACGAUAGGGCUCCCCAUAGGGAAUAAUAACGGUAAAUAGGGUUGACCGCUACUAUCGGCACCGAGACUUUACCCGAUUUACGUGAUUUUUGAACCAUAGCCGUAUUUCACCAUUCUGAACACAUCUUAUUUCACGAGAUUUUUGAUAAUUUUGCUUCUUAUAUAGAGUUGGUUCACAAAGUUGUAUAACCUACUAAACAAGUUAUACAACAUUAGUAGACACGUUGUGAUUUCGAUGACUAAAAUUCACAAACCAAAAUUCGACCGUCAGAUAUGAUCAUUAUGACGAAAGAUGUCUAUGGUAAAAAAUUCAAGUGGAUCCGACAAAGUUAAGGACUCGAUCGAAACGGUCAACCCUAAUCCAUCGUCACUUAUCACACGAAAACGCUCAUAUCUCUCUCUAUAUUACGUGGUUUGGUCAAACUUUCUACACAAAAAACUCUCACGUAGAUGAGACGCAACUGCCCAUAUAAAAAUUUUGAGACAUUUAUCUUCCGACGAUAGGGCUCCCCACUCCCCAUAGGGAAUAAUAAUGGUAAAUAGUAGACACGUUGCGAUUCCAAUGACUAAAAUUUACAAACUAAAAUUUGACCGUCAGAUAUGAUCAUUAUGACGAAAGAUGUCUAUGGUAAAAAAUUCAACUGGAUUCGACAACAUUAAGGGCUCGAUCGAAACGGUCAACUCUAAUUGGAAAUAAGAAAACUGCAUUUUGAAGCCCUAAACGGACUCGGAUGGCCAAAAAAGGCCCAUACGUCAUAGCAAUAGCGAUGUGUUUGACUCAUAGGGCUGUUACGCUUCCGGAAAGGUAUCACAAUAGUCAAUCGGACACCAAAAACCAAAUCUGCAGCAUAGUGAAUAAUAAGGGUAAAUUGCAUUGACCGCAAUUAUCGGCACUGAGACUUUACCGGAAUACCAUGAUUUUUCAACCAUAGAUGUAUUUCA
rnacentral:lncRNA from 1 species